rnacentral:rRNA from 1 species
AACGAACGCUGGCGGCAUGCCUAACACAUGCAAGUCGAACGAAGCCUUCGGGCUUAGUGGCGCACGGGUGCGUAACGCGUGGGAAUCUGCCCCUUGCUUCGGAAUAACAGUUAGAAAUGACUGCUAAUACCGGAUGAAGUCUUCGGACCAAAGAUUUAUCGGCAAGGGAUGAGCCCGCGUAGGAUUAGGUAGUUGGUGGGGUAAAGGCCUACCAAGCCGACGAUCCUUAGCUGGUCUGAGAGGAUGAUCAGCCACACUGGGACUGAGACACGGCCCAGACUCCUACGGGAGGCAGCAGUGGGGAAUAUUGGACAAUGGACGCAAGUCUGAUCCAGCAAUGCCGCGUGGGUGAUGAAGGCCUUAGGGUUGUAAAGCUCUUUUACCAGGGAUGAUAAUGACAGUACCUGGAGAAUAAGCUCCGGCUAACUCCGUG